rnacentral:RNase_P_RNA from 1 species
CCAGUUGGCCGGAUGGCCGCUCUGCGCGGGGGAUUUGUAUUUUCGUACCUUGGCGCGGGGAGGAAAGUCCGGGCUCCAUGGAAGCACGGUGCCGGAUAACGUCCGGCGGGGGCGACCCCAGGGAAAGUGCCACAGAAAGCAAACCGCCUCUCAUUCGGGCCGCAAGGCUAAGAACAAGAGGUAAGGGUGAAAGGGUGCGGUAAGAGCGCACCGCGCG